rnacentral:lncRNA from 1 species
CUCUGUCUGAGAGCAAUCAAGGACCCACAGCCAUCCAAGGACAGAAGAACAAAGGAUGCUAGCAAACGUUUCAUAAGAGUGCUUCCAGAGAGAGUGAGCUGUUGCUUGGGAGAAACAACGGAGGAGCAGAAAAUCUUUGGCACAUCUCGGUUUCAGCCUGCUAACCUAAGAAGCAUGGUGAGACUGAAGGGCUCAAGAAGGCACAGGAUUGCAACACCUCAAGGGAGAGCUGGAGCUGACCAUUUUUCCAAAAACAGACCUCCCAGACACAGUCCUGUUUUCAGAAAAUGUCAUCUUUCUUUUCCUCCUCUUCACACAGACAGCUAUAGCCCCUCAGCCGUGCCAAAUGCUGAAAUAUCUGUGUUGGUGAGGAAGAGGCUAGGGAGGAAAAUGUGGCUUUGAAGGAGAAGUAAUCUCUUGGAGUGGAGAUGAAGUAGAUUUUGACCACAGCUGUUCCCACAGAGAGGUCUCUGUCUCACAGUGAAAUACAAGGACUGGAUGGCAACAACGUGUAGGGUUAAAUCCUGAGAUGUUCGCUCGUCAGAAGAAAUAUAAGGAUAAAAGAAGUAAAAACAAUUUCCUUGAACCCUCUGUUCUUUUCAUGCCAAU